AACGAACGCUGGCGGCAGGCCUAACACAUGCAAGUCGAGCGAACCUUCGGGUUAGCGGCGGACGGGUGAGUAACGCGUGGGAAUAUGCCUCUGGGUGCGGAAUAGCCUCUGGAAACGGGGAGUAAUACCGCAUGAUGUCUUCGGACCAAAGAUUUAUCGCCCAGAGAUUGGCCCGCGUUGGAUUAGGUAGUUGGUGAGGUCAAAGCUCACCAAGCCGACGAUCCAUAGCUGGUUUGAGAGGAUGAUCAGCCACACUGGGACUGAGACACGGCCCAGACUCCUACGGGAGGCAGCAGUGGGGAAUCUUAGACAAUGGGGGAAACCCUGAUCUAGCCAUGCCGCGUGAGCGAUGACGGCCUUAGGGUUGUAAAGCUCUUUCACCGGUGACGAUAAUGACGGUAGCCGGAGAAGAAGCCCCGGCUAACUCCGUGCCAGCAGCCGCGGUAAUACGGAGGGGGCUAGCGUUGUUCGGAAUUACUGGGCGUAAAGCGCAUGUAGGCGGACUAUUAAGUCGGGGGUGAAAUCCCGGGGCUCAACCCCGGAACUGCCUUCGAUACUGGUAGUCUGGAGGUCGAGAGAGGCAAGUGGAAUGGCGAGUGUAGAGGUGAAAUUCGUAGAUAUUCGCCGGAACACCAGUGGCGAAGGCGGCUUGCUGGCCCGAUACUGACGCUGAGGCGCGAAAGCGUGGGUAGCAAACAGGAUUAGAUACCCUGGUAGUCCACGCCGUANACGAUGAGCACUAGGUAUGGUGGGUAUUGACCCCUGCCGUGCCGUAGCUAACGCGUUAAGUGCUCCGCCUGGGGAGUACGG
rnacentral:rRNA from 1 species